AGCAGUUGCCCAUACUGCAAGUCUCUCCACGCCACCGAUGUUGUCCAAGGGAAGGGCACUAGGGCCCAUACAGCUUGUCGUCGCAGAGCAAUGUGUGGUUAAGUGCCUUGCUCAAGGACAAAGCCUCAGCUGAGGCUCAAACUAGCGACCUUCAGAUCACCAGACCGACCCCUUAACCACUUGACCACGUGCCAACACACAAGAUCGGUUUCACACCAAGAUAUUAUGUCACUUUGGAAUUUUGCGUAUGGGUUGUUUGUCUGUCUUUACUGUGUGUAUUUUUCAUUGAUUCUGUUGUAUUUUUUAUAUUUACUGUGAAUGAAUCUCAGGAUAGUAUAUGAUUACAUAUAUGUACU